rnacentral:lncRNA from 1 species
ACAGAGGUGAGGCUGUAAACAGCUCUCCUCAGAAAACUGGCACUUGGAAAAUAGAAACCAAUUAGCGAGCUGUGAAGUGGCUCAGGAGAGUGUCAUUGGAGAGGCGGGAGGGAGAGCACGCACAUCUCGGACAGAACCUUUAACGCGUAACCUUUUGGAAGACAGCAUUGAUUGAGAAGACCAAGCUCCCAUGUGAAAGAUGCCCUCCCUAAACCAGGAGGAAAGAAACAUUCUUAUCACCAGAGACGGAGAACAGAGGCUGAGAGAAAUCUGUACAAACAGAUCUUGUGAAAAUAACCCUUAUCUUCUUUAGUCUCCCUAUCAUUAUGGUUAUUUUUCCACAAUUACAACUUUUGUUCAACCUAGUAUAUAAGUUAGGCAUUUAAGCCUGACCGCUUUUAGGGUCUUCAUUUUCCUGUGAGGGCUCCCAUAUGCAUGUAAAAAUAUCAAAUAAAAUUUGUAUGUUUU